rnacentral:rRNA from 1 species
GACAGAGGUGCCAAGCGUUAGGCGGAAUCACUGGGCUUAAAGCGUGUGUAGGCGGAUGUCUAAGUACCUUGUGAAAUCCCACGGCUCAACCGUGGAACCGCUGGGUAUACUGGUUGUCUUGAGCCGGCUAGGGGCGAGCGGAACAGACGGUGGAGCGGUGAAAUGCGUAGAUAUCGUCUGGAACGCCGAAGGUGAAAACAGCUCGCUGGGGCCGCGCUGACGCUGAGACACGAAAGCCAGGGGAGCGAACGGG